GAUUGUAACUGGUGGUUUGACGAUGGGAGGGAUUGUAACUGGUGGUUUGACGAUGGGAGGGAUUGUGACUGGUGGUUUGACUAUGGGUGGAAUUGUGACUGGUGGUUUAACGAUGGGAGGGAUUGUAACUGGUGGUUUGACGAUGGGUGGGAUUGUGACUGGUGGUUUAACGACUGGGGGCUUGACAUGAAUGGGAGGGAUGGGGCCUUUGGGGGUCUUAGGCUUAGGUUUGUGCUUUGGGGGAGGCUUGCCACAAGUACCGCAGCCAAGAAUGGGAGUGGCUGAGGAGAUGAAGAGCAAGCAAAUGAAGAAGAGAGCAUGGAGCUUACUGGACUCGGCCAUGUUCUUCACCGCAGUAGUCUAGCGCGCUCUUUCUCUCUCUCUCUGCA
rnacentral:lncRNA from 1 species